GGGUCGCUAGCUCAAUUGGCAGAGCAACGGACUCUUAAUCCGCAGGUUCCGGGUUCAAGUCCCGGGCGGCCUA
rnacentral:tRNA from 1 species